AAGACUAUAGACCUGCGGAGUACCUGCGGAGGGAUCAUUAAAGAGAAAACUGCCCUUUGGGUAGAUUUCCCACCCUUUGUUUACUUUACCUUUGUUGCUUUGGCAGGCCCGUCUUCUGACCACCGGCUUCUAGCUGGUCCGUGCCUGCCAGAGGACCCCCAACUCUUGAUUUUAAGUUGUCCGAGUCUUAUAUAAUAGUAAAAACUUUCAACAACGGAUCUCUAGAUCGGAAGAGCACAC
rnacentral:misc_RNA from 1 species